rnacentral:rRNA from 1 species
AUGCCCGAGAAAAUGGGGGCCGGCCCCAGUUUUGCUGUGGUGAAUCCGCCUGAUUUGUGUUUGCUGCUUGUUGCUGGCCUGGGUUAUGCUGGGGAGAACCCGCCUGAUUUGCGUUUGCUGCUUGUUGCUGGCCUGAGUUAUGCUGUGGAGAACCCACCUGAUUUGUGUUUGCUGCUUGUUGCUGGCCUUGGUUAUGCUGGGGGGAACCCGUCUGAUUUGCGGUUGCUGCUUGUUGCUGGCCCGGGUUAUGCUGGGGAGAACCCGCCUGAUUUGUGUUUGCUGCUUGUUGCUGGCCCAGGGUUAAAACUUGCACAAAGUUGCAUCAGCAGUUGUGCUAUGGUAGUUUGA